CAAUGUCAAGAAACUCUCGAAACCAGAGUGUGGUUUCACAUAGCCACGAGCGUUUGACGAGCCCGUGUGGCUGUGGGCGCUUCUGUUUCUCUCACUCGCCUUUUUAUAGCGUAACUCCGGGACUAAAGCGAGUGGCUCGUCUUUAAUCAGAGACUGGAGAGGCGGGCCGAGGUGCUGACUGUAAUGCGAUAGCUGCGCCUGUCCUUAAUGCUAUUACAUCCACAUGCUGCUGCCGCUCGAGACUCAGGGCUCAAACGCACAGACGCGCAGUGCCAAAGGAGCAGCGUAGAGACAGCGCGCGGAGGAUCUCUAUCACUAGACUUCAAUUACGGAUUCGCUUCACGAAAGAGCUGAUCCGAGCGGCCUUUUUCUGACAGUUUUCGCCGUGAGUAGGGUUUCCCAUGCGAGACAGAGCGUCUGGUAGUGGAUUCUGGUGGAAAGAGAACGGGAAAACGCUUCUUGUCACUUGGAUUUGAAGGCGCGAGCCCCGCUCAGUCACUCCACUCGCAGCUCGAGGAAAUCAAGCCAGAGGUUAUGCGCCCUCAGAAAUAUGUUUUCUGUCUGAACUCCUGCUUGUAAAGAGAAAGUUAUUUAGUUUUAUCCCGUUGUUUUAUUUCAUUGCUGUCGCUUCUGUUUAGGAUAUAAUAGCCACAAUGUUUCGGAGACGUUAAUCAGAAAAGUCUGGGUUGAAUUUACACAUCCAACAUUUGAAGCGUAUUGAGAAAGCAGGCGGGUCGUCAAACAGAAUAAAUUGUUAUAAGAUUCAAGACACGAGCUGUUCUCAGUGGAUACAUUAGUGGACAAGAACAGUUUUAAAACAACAACAGAAGAACUUAAAGCUCUCACCAUUUCCACUUAACGCACUGGGUGAAUAUUCACCCAGAAAAGAUGGAUUUAUUCACAAAGCUCUGUGGAUCUUUACUUGUCUUGUGUUUAUCGGCUUUAGUUUAUGGUGAAGAAGAGGCAUGUGGUGGACAUUUGGAUGCUAGUGACGCAGGCUACAUCACCACACCCGGAUACCCGCUGGAGUACCCACCCCAUCAGAACUGCAGAUGGGUGAUUACAGCGCCUGAACAGUCCCAACGUAUUGUCCUGAACUUCAACCCUCACUUUGAACUGGAGAAACUCGACUGCAGGUACGACUUCAUUGAGAUCCGGGAUGGUAACUCAGAGAGUGCUGAUCUGUUGGGAAGACACUGCAGUAACAUCGCCCCCCCUGCAAUCAUCUCCUCUGGCCCCGUUCUUCACAUAAAAUUUGUCUCAGAUUACGCCCACCAGGGGGCAGGCUUCUCGCUACGCUAUGAAAUCUUUAAGACAGGCUCUGACUGUUCCCGAAACUUCACCAGUUCAUCAGGCGUAAUCGAGUCACCCGGCUUCCCUGACAAAUACCCCCACAAUCUAGAGUGCACCUUCAUCAUCAUCGUUCCUCCUAACAUGGAUGUCACCCUCACCUUCCUGACCUUCGACCUGGAAAAUGACCCCUUGCAGGGGUCGGAGGGCGAGUGCAAGUAUGACUGGCUGGUGGUGUGGGACGGCCUCCCACAGGUUGGCCCUUUAAUUGGACGGCAUUGCGGUACCAAAAUCCCUGCUGAAAUACAAUCAUCUACAGGUAUCCUCUCUCUAUCCUUUCACACAGACAUGGCCGUGGCCAAAGAUGGCUUCUCGGCCCGCUACAACAUGACACUCAAGGAGGUCAAUGACAACUUCCACUGCAGUAGUGCUCUUGGCAUGGAGUCAGGCAAGAUCAGUGAUGACCAGAUCGCUGCAUCUUCAACCUUCUAUGACGGCCAUUGGUCUCCAAGACAGGCUCGCCUUAACUUUGAGGACAACGCAUGGACGCCCAAUGAGGACAGCAACAAGGAAUACAUCCAGGUGGACCUGCAUUUCCUGAAGGUCCUGACGGGCAUCGCCACUCAGGGCGCUGUCUCCAAGGAGACACACAAGUCCUACUUCGUCACCACCUUUAAGCUGGAGGUUAGCACUAAUGGAGAGGACUGGAUGAUCUACCGCUAUGGCAAGAACCACAAGAUUUUCCAUGCUAAUGUAGACCCCUCAGAGGUGGUCUUGAACCGGAUCCCUCAGCCUGUCUUAGCUCGGUUUGUCCGCAUCCGUCCACAGACAUGGAAGAAUGGAAUCGCUUUGCGCUUUGAACUUUACGGCUGUCAAAUCACGGAUGCUCCAUGCUCGGAGAUGCAGGGAAUGCUCUCUGGCCUCCUGCCCGACUCCCAGAUCUCAGCCUCCUCCAUGAGGGACAUCCAUGGGGCCACAGGUGCAGCCCGGCUGGUGGCCAGCCGUUCAGGGUGGUUCCCCAGUCCCACACAGCCUGUGGCUGGGGAGGAAUGGCUGCAGGUGGACCUGGGAGUCCCCAAAACUGUACGGGGUCUCAUUACACAAGGGGCCCGUGGGGUGGACGGCAGUACCAGCGCGGAGAACCGAGCCUUUGUGCGGAAGUAUAAACUGUCCCAUAGCUUGAAUGGAAAAGACUGGAGCUACAUUAUUGACCCAAAGACCAAUCUCCCAAAGAUUUUUGAGGGAAACACACACUAUGAUACCCCAGAGAUCCGCCGCUUUGACGAGAACGUGGCCCAGUUUAUCCGGGUGUAUCCGGAGAGGUGGUCCCCUGCCGGCAUCGGAAUGAGGCUUGAGAUACUGGGUUGUGAUUUACCUGAAUCUACCACCAUUCCUGACACAGCCACACCUACUCUGCCACUUCAGGAAGAGACAAGUACUGUCUACAGAACACUAGCUCCCACAACUCUCUCGUCUCUGGGUGGUCUGUGUGACUUUGAACAGAGUAUGUGCGGAUGGACCCAUGACCCCAAGUCUGAUCUGAAGUGGUCUCUGUACAGUUCAUCUAGUGCUAGUCUGGACCUGACACAAGGCUCUGACAACUUUGGGAAUUUCCUGUAUGUGGAAGCGAGUCCUAAGAUAGAGCCACAGCAUGCAAGAUUGGUGAGUCCAGCGGUGGGACCCGAGCGCCGUACCGUCUGUCUGCUUUUCUACUACCAGCUGCAGGGAGAGGGUCAUGACAGCCUUCGUGUGCUGCUCCUGGAAGACGACCAGGAGGAGACACUGCUCUGGACUCUGAAAGGAGACCAGGGGCCCAUGUGGAGGGAGGGCCGCACCAUCCUGCCUCAGUCCCCUAAACAAUAUCAGGUUGUCAUAGAAGGCUUCUUUGAGCGGGGCAGUCGAGGGCACAUCUGGGUCGAUAACAUCCACAUGAGCUCUAACACAGAGCUUGAGCAGUGCACACAACCCUUUGCAGCGUUUCCACCUGAAAUGACUGGGGGAGCCUUACCUGGCAGGAGUGACCCCACUGUUGACACGACAGUGUCCCUGCAGCCCAUGCCCACCUACUGGUAUUACGUAAUAGCCGGAGGUGGCACCCUUUUCCUCCUGGGCUGCAUCAUGUUGGGCAUGGUGCUGUGUUGCCAUCGCUACCGCCUGGCGGCCAAGAAGAGCCAGCACUCUGUGUCCUACCAGAGUACAUACACCGGACAGUAUGUAGUCAAUGGCACUGGGGGUCUCGCUGGUCCUGGGGUGGAGCCCAUGCUGACUAUUAGGUUAGAGAAGGAAGAGCCCUGCUCCCAGUGCUGAGAGAAUAUUGAUGUAUCAUUUCCUCCUACUGUUUCAUAAUUAACUAACUAAAAACCAAACACGAGGAUGCUAAAAGGUUUAAAGACUCAUUUUUGCACAGGAUGAGCUUCACUUUGACCGCUGGACUUGGAUUGUGCCUCUAAUGAAGAUGCUAAAAAGGACACAAAGCACCAGAGUUGUCAAGUUCUGGGUUCCUCUUGGACUCUUUUGCGGUGCUCAAGGGCUAAGAGAAAGUGGAAAUGUGCUGUGCAGAGGGACAUCCAGCCACAAUCCUGAGUGGCAGGCACUCCUCAGCCCUUUCCCCCCCUUUUCUGCUCUUCAUGUGGAGAAAGGCUGGAUGGGAACCUUACUGUGCAAAGCUCUAAUCUCCUGUUCAUGACCAAUCCUAUUGUACUGUCAAGAAAACUCAUUGCCAAACUCUGAGGAGAGCCUAAGAGCAGAGAUGGACGGGAAAGGAAUGGAACACAAAAGGAAAACCAGAAAGGGAUCCUGUUGUCACAUGGAAACUUUUGCAUGUGUACUGCAUCUCAUGUGCACACUACAAGCUUCUAGAGACAGAGAAACAGAUGAAACAUGAAUUGCAAACAGAAUUGCAAACUCUGGGACUCCUCCAUUGUUGCUAGAGGAAUCCAUGUGUGUAUCUUCUUAACAGGAUCUUUAGAACUCUAAGGGACCUUUUGGGCAAUAGAUUUGGUCCUUUUUUUCUUCAGGCAAAUGUUUGAGCAACCUGUUUGAUCUCCUUUUGACCAUUGAAUGAAAUGAAUGAAGCUUCUUCAAAGCAUUUGUAAGGCUGUGUUCUCCUUUUCUGAGAAUUCAUUUGAAUAUCUGUCAAUGUGUGUCUUUUAAACUCUUUUUUUCUGAAAGUCACUGGGGCUGUGGCACUGAGUCUGCAGAGUUACAGUAUGUUAUUUUAUUGCCUAUAUGCAAAGGUCACAUGACCCUGCCUUAGCCAGCCUACUCCUCUGAUUGGCCGACUAACCUACACAACAUUGGCCUUAAGACGCUUCAGUGGCAUUGGGCUGGUGCAAGUCGAUCACUGUUCUUAUUUCUCAUUUAUUCUUUUCAUAUUCAACUGGAUUCAUAGAGUUUGCUGAUAGUCAAGAUCAAUUGAUGCACAGACUAAUUUUGCUUUAUUUUUAUAGCUAACAUCUUUGUGUUGUUCCCUUAGAGAAUUUGAUUACACACAGUCUUGUAAAAGAACAGAGAGCGAGAGCUUUGUAAAUCUGACAAGUGUCAGUCGGUGCAGUAGCGCUUGGAAAGCUGAUUUAGCUGCAGGAAGUGAAAAUAAUCCCCUAUCAUGGACAGGCUGGCCCUUUCUCACCCAUUAAUCUGCUCUUCACGAAAGAAUGUGUGGGGAGAUGGAAGGCAAGAUCAAAGCAAAGCCUGCUCUAAAUAUAGACCUUCUCUGCAAAAUCCAGGGUCUAAAGGGGUUUGUUUAAAACACAGAAGUACAUGAAAGAUCCUUGCAGACAGCUAGAGAGACCACCUGACCUGGCAGACCCAUUGGAGAGAGGAGCAUUGUCUCUCUCUGGUUUCUCUCUCUCUCUAUUUCUUCUCUCAUCUCGCCUAAUCAGCUAUACAGUAGAGUGUUCUGGGGAGAUGGGACAGUCACUGUGAGCUGCACACAACAGCUUUUCAUGUGAAAUAUUCUGGGAGACACAUCAAUUGUGUUCUGAAAGGUUUUUGAAAUGACAGUUUUUGAAAAAUUCGAAAUGAUUUGAGACAUGUGGUCUUCAUUAUGGUGCCAUAUUGUGGGCCCUUUUGAACCUCUUAUCUUGUUUAAAGACCCCAUGAAAUUUCUUAACAAGCAAAGUUUUCUGUCCUGUGUUGAUGUAUUUUCUAUUGAAACAGAAAGUUUGGAUGCAACAUUUUUAUCAUCAUCACAUUUUCUUUAAUUAGCCAUUAGGCUUUAGUUAUGUCACAGCCAUGAACCAUGAUUGGCAUCUUGCUAUUCGGUUGCAGCUGAUAUUAUGGGGAGGGGUAUUCUUAUUCUAGAGAGCAUUUGAUUUAAUCUGUAGUGCAGGAUGAGUCAUAACCAUUUUUGGUCCAUUUUAUUUUAUUUUUUUCUGGAAGAGAAAUACUGUAUAUUUUAAGUGUGUUGAUUUUGUCCACUUUUAGGAGUACACUGGCAGUUAGACCACUUUAAAGCUAAUAGACUUGGACUAAAAGCCACAAAUUACAUUUCUGAUUUCAUGGGGUUUUUAAGGCAGAAUUUGAUGAUAUGCAACAUAUCUCUAUUACUUUUUGUUCCCUCUAACUGAAUGUGUAACAAUGCUACUGUUAAAAUGGUCUUGUCUCGUCUCAUCUUGAGCAAUUAUCUUCUUUGACUUCUCACAUUUGACAAAUCAGUUCAUGAUACAUUUUUCUGAAAAGUCCUAGUUAUUCUGUAUGCCUGUAUGAUUAAUGUAUGAAUUUAUAUUGAGCUGUUCACUCAGACUAAGCGAUCGUGAUUUGUGAUUCUAUUUUGUAGAGGGUUUAACCUGUUACAUUUAUGAUCUGCUCCUUACAGAAGCCUUUCUUUUUUAUUUAAUUCUCAGUCUCUUUUUUUCCACUAUUUUAGCUGUGUUGCUAAAUAAAACAUAUCAGUGUCAGCUGCUUUUUGAGAUUUGAUUGAACCUUAAAUAUUUUACAUUAUUUAAUGGACCCGAUUACAUUACAUACUUAAUAUAAGCCGGCUUUAAGCAUUCUUGCUAGAGGCCCGUUCAUUUUGCUGUCCCUCUAAAGAUAUGAAUUAAAAGCAAAAGCACUCAGUGAGGCUACUAUGAUGCCAAGAGCCUGUCUCUGACUUGCACAAAACUGUAUACAGGUGCAUCUCAAUAAAUUAGAAUGUCGUGGAAAAGUUCAUUUAUUUCAGUAAUUCAACUCAAAUUGUGAAACUCGUGUAUUAAAUAAAUUCAAUGCACACAGACUGAAGUAGUUUAAGUCUUUGGUUCUUUUAAUUGUGAUGAUUUUGGCUCACAUUUAACAAAAACCCACCAAUUCACUUUUAUUGAAUCAUGUCAGAUGAACAUGAUUUUUUGAUGUUCAUAAUGUCGACAUUAUGCUUAAUUUGUAUCCGUUUGAAACAAGUUCUAAUGAAUCUGUGGUUGUGAGCACACUUUUGUCCUUUGUGAAUUUGGGGCUUUGACCCUGUCAUCAGUAUUAGCCUGUUCUGUUCUGUUUACAAUGCAGCAUUUUAGCCUGUUUAAAUACUUACAGUAUGAGGUAUAUUUUAGCCUGUUGAAUUUCAUGGUCUUGGAAAUGUUGUAUGGAAUGUUACAAUAAAGUGAUAUUUUUCUACAAACUGCAGUUAAAGUGCUUUGUGCUUUUCAUUUUUAUGAUGUAAAACAGACUACUUGCAUUCAUACUUCCACAGAUUUUUGUACCCAAGUUGUAUGGUGUCGUCAUCAGUUAACAAACAAAUGCUUGCCUAUUUUGUGUUCAUACAUUGUACUAUAUUACUAGCUCAUUGGACAAAACUGCACAAGGUGGUUCUUUUCUUGGAAUAUACAAAAAAGCCUGUUUUAUGUACUCUGCAGUCAAUUUGACAUCACUGAGGGUUUCAUUUUGGUUC